rnacentral:rRNA from 1 species
GAUGAACGCUAGCGGGAGGCUUAACACAUGCAAGUCGAGGGGCAGCAUAGGGUAGCAAUACUCUGAUGGCGACCGGCAAACGGGUGAGUAACGCGUAUGCAACCUACCCUGUACAGGGGGAUAACCCGGAGAAAUUCGGACUAAUAUCCCGUAAUAAUAUCCGGAGGCAUCUUUGGAUUAUUUAAAGUUCCGACGGUACGGGAUGGGCAUGCGUAACAUUAGCUGGUUGGUAAGGUAACGGCUUACCAAGGCUAUGAUGUUUAGGGGUCCUGAGAGGGUGGUCCCCCACACUGGUACUGAGACACGGACCAGACUCCUACGGGAGGCAGCAGUGAGGAAUAUUGGUCAAUGGGCGCAAGCCUGAACCAGCCAUCCCGCGUGCAGGAAGACGGCCCUAUGGGUUGUAAACUGCUUUUCCAGGGAGAGAAACUUACGCACGUGUUGCGUGACUGACGGUACCUGGGAAUAAGCAUCGGCUAACUCCGUGCCAGCAGCCGCGGUAAUCUGGUAGUCGUC